rnacentral:rRNA from 1 species
AUACAAGCUAGAUAAGGGCGUAUGGGGGAUGCCUAGGCUCUCAGAGGCGAAGAAGGACGUGAUAAGCUGCGAAAAGUCGUGGGGAUUGGCACAUACAAAUUGAUCCGCGAAUAUCCGAAUGGGGCAACCCAGCAUGUUGAAGACAUGUUACCAUGCUUGCAUGGGGCGAACCCGGGGAACUGAAACAUCUAAGUACCCGGAGGAAGAGAAAACAAUAGUGAUUGCGCUAGUAGCGGCGAGCGAACGCGCAAGAGCCCAAACCAAUGAGUUUACGGACUUAUUGGGGUUGUAGGACUGCAAUAUAGGUUAUACAAUGAACUAGAAUUAGCUGGAAAGCUAAGCCAUAGACGGUGACAGCCCGGUAUAGGCAAGUUGUUAUAAUCUUAGCAGGAUCCUGAGUAGUGCGGGGCACGUGAAACCCUGUAUGAAUCUGGCGGGACCAUCCGCCAAGGCUAAAUACUCCUGAGAGACCGAUAGUGAACCAGUACCGUGAGGGAAAGGUGAAAAGAACCCUGAACAAGGGAGUGAAAUAGAACCUGAAACCAUACGCUUACAAGCGGUCGGAGCCACCUUGUGUGGUGACGGCGUGCCUUUUGCAUAAUGAGCCUACGAGUUACCGUUUCCAGCAAGGUUAAGCACUUAAGGUGUGGAGCCGUAGCGAAAGCGAGUCUGAAUAGGGCGCCAUAGUUGGUAGUGGUAGACGCGAAACCGUGUGAUCUAUCCUUGGGCAGGUUGAAGCUGUGGUAACACAUAGUGGAGGACCGAACCCGUUGACGUUGAAAAGUCUUGGGAUGACCUGAGGAUAGGGGUGAAAGGCCAAUCAAACUCGGAAAUAGCUCGUACUCCCCGAAAUGCAUUUAGGUGCAGCGAUAUAGUUAGUUUUAUAGAGGUAGAGCUACUGAUUGGAUGCGGGGGCUUCACCGCCUACCAAUUCCUGACAAACUCCGAAUGCUAUAAAAUGAUGCAUAUCAGUGAGGGCAUGGGUGCUAAGGUCCAUGUCCGAGAGGGAAAGAACCCAGACCAUCAGCUAAGGUCCCCAAAUGUAUGUUAAGUUGAAUAAACGCGGUUGGACUGCCCAGACAGCUAGGAUGUUGGCUUGGAAGCAGCCAUUCAUUUAAAGAGUGCGUAACAGCUCACUAGUCGAGCGGUCCGGCAUGGAUAAUAAUCGGGCAUAAACAUACUACCGAAGCUAUGGAUUCUAACAUUAGUUAGAGUGGUAGGGGAGCAUUGUAACAGAGACGAAGGUGUACUGCGAGGUAUGCUGGAUUGGUUACAAAAGAAAAUGUAGGCAUAAGUAACGAUAAUGCAGGCGAGAAACCUGCACACCGAAAGACCAAGGUUUCCCCAGCUAUGCUAAUCAGCUGGGGGUUAGUCGGGACCUAAGGCGAACCCGAAGGGGGUAGUCGAUGGACAAGCAGUUAAUAUUCUGCUACUUGCCCCAUGUUAAAGCGGACGGAGGCGUAAAGUUGGUGCGUACUGACGGAAUAGUACGUUGAAGGGAGUGGUAACACCCCGAUAGUACACAAAAGCUACGGCCGGCGUGAUAAUCCAGCGGAGCGACUUCCAAGAAAAGCGAGUGGUGGCAACCCGUACCGUAAACCGACACAGGUAGUUGGGAUGAGAAUUCUAAGGUGCUCGAGAGAUUCAUGGCUAAGGAACUAGGCAAAAUUGGCCCGUAACUUCGGGAGAAGGGUCGCCCUCUGUAAUGGGGGGCCGCAGUGAAAAGAUCCAGGCGACUGUUUAUCAAAAACACAGGGCUCUGCUAAAUCGAAAGAUGACGUAUAGGGCCUGACACCUGCCCGGUGCUGGAAGGUUAAGGGGAGAAGUUAGCUUCGGCGAAGCUUUGAACUGAAGCCCCAGUAAACGGCGGCCGUAACUAUAACGGUCCUAAGGUAGCGAAAUUCCUUGUCGGGUAAGUUCCGACCUGCACGAAUGGUGCAACGAUCUGGAUACUGUCUCAGCCAUGAGCUCGGUGAAAUUGUAGUAUCGGUGAAGAUGCCGAUUACCCGCUACGGGACGAAAAGACCCCGUGCACCUUUACUAUAGCUUAGUAUUGACUUUGAACAAGUGAUGUGUAGGAUAGGUGGGAGACUUCGAAGCAGCUUCGCCAGGAGUUGUGGAGUCGUUGUUGAAAUACCACCCUUUACUUGUUUAGAGCCUAACUUC